rnacentral:lncRNA from 1 species
GGCCCAGGGAUGGCAUGCUGCUGUUGCUGAGCAGUGCUGGCGAUGAUGACCUAAAGUGGUUUUGAUGAGAUUCAACACCAGGUGCUCCUCAUUAGAAGGUCUCAGCAACACUGUGCCAGUCUGAGCAAGAAACGUUCUCCCUCUUCUUCCACUGAGCAGGAGACAGCUGAGCUGUCCAGCAGACAACUCGGUGCUUUCCCGCACCUUUGCUACCAGUUUUUGAAGGUAAUGUGAUGACUGUGCUGCUCCAGCACUACAAACACUCAUCUUUCUGUGGAAAAAAAGUGCAGUCUUUGGAAGAUGUACUAUAACUGGCAGCUGAUUUAUUGCGUGAGAUUCCAAGUAAGGAAAGAGUGAAAACAGCACGAGAGUGGCUUUUUCUCUCUUUUAGUCCCGGAUUUAAAUUGGUUGCUGGGGCAGCAUUCAUUUCUUGGGUAAGAGGGAAUCUUUUGGAUUGAGGUUUCCGCAACCUUUUAGGGGUGUCCACCACCUGUGCUUGGGUUUAGAGUACACAUUAAAAGGUGACCCACCC